UAAAAGGAGAGAGAGAAGGCGACAGAUCAGUCGAGGUAGCAUCUCCGACACGGCAACAACUAAAGCGCACUAUUUGUCAACUACCUUCUUCAUCGCAUAACUGGUUCGCAAUCAUGGUUAGCCAUGGCGUUGUGCUGCUGUUGGGUGUUAGCACGAGUGUUAGUGUGAGCACGAAAUAAAAGGAGAUUGAAUUUCGUCAUGGUAAACUAUGCCGUCGUGCUGCAUUGCUGCUCUUCCUUGUUGUGUCGUUGAUCGCAGGGUCUUACACCACAGCUACUGCAUUGAAGUCCUGAAGUAUUAUUCUUAAAGCGCCUGAAUACUACACCGAUGCUCCAAAGUACUACUCUGCUCCCAGCUACACCGAUUCUCCAGCUUAUUACAACACUAAAGUGGUAGAAUACUACACAGAAGUUCACUCGACUGAUUUUGUGAUCAUCUCCGCCACCCGACACAGCAACAACUGCAGCACAAUACUUGUCACUAACUGCAUUCUUCGUCGUAAUACCGGCUCGUAAUAAUGGUUAACUUACUAUGGCGCCGUGCUGUUGUUGGGAGUUGUAUCGUUGAUGGCUAGGUCGAUCAGCGAUGUACCGAUGUCUCCUGGGUGUGGUGAAUAUCAAGAAACAGCAGCGAAAGAAUUCUAUACCACGCCGCCUCCUCCGCCAACAACGUCAAUACCUACUUACUAUACGGAGGCCUUCAAGUACUACACCACCAAGGCUCCUGAGUAUUAAACUGCAACUUACGCUGCUCCGUCUUAGGAAACAUGGUAAACUAUGGUGUCGUGCCGCUGUUGGAUGUUAUAUCAUUGAUGGCUGGGUCGUCCACUGGUGUGCCGAUGUCUCCUGGUUAUGGUAAGUACCAAACCGCAACGCCGCCGCCUUACUACACAACGAAGUCAACAUACACUGUUACUACACCGAGGCUCCCAAGUACUACACCACCGAGUUGUCUGCCCCAGCCUACUACACCGACGCGUUCAAGUACUACUCUGUUCCAAGCUACUACCAAACUCAGGCUUUUGUUUACUUCACCAAGGCCACCAAGUAUUACACUACAACAUGCUGACUAUGGCGUUGUGCUGCUGUUCGUUGUUGUAUCCUUGAUGGUUGGGUCGACUACUGGUGUACCGAUGUCUCGUGGGUAUGGUGGAUACCAAACCGCAACGCCGGCGUCUUACCAAACAACAACACACGAAUGCAGCGGAGUACUACACCACGAAGGCAGCGGAGUACUACGCCACAGCAGCUGCUAAUUCGUACUUCGUUGAACUAGAAUACUAAACCGAGGCUCCGGUUUACUACACUACAACCUACGCUGCUCCCAGGUACUACACCGAAGCCCUCAAGUACUACAUCGACGAGGCCGCAUAUUGCGCUACAACCCACGGUGCCCACCGAGGCUCCAAAGUACUAUACCACUACUCCCACCUACUACAACGAAGCUCAGAAAUCACUACUCUGCCCCGAGUUACUAAACCACCAAGACAGCUGAAUAUUAUACCACAAACUACGCUUCAAACGGAUCUUACUACAAGGAGAUUCCAAAAUACUAGAGCCAAAAUUUCUAUUUGAUUUUAUUUAUGUGUUGUUUAUCUGGUCAUUGGUCACUGGAAAUUAAUUGUUGAUCUUAAAUAAGAAAAUAAAAAUUUUUCAUGUGGGUAAUUCU
rnacentral:misc_RNA from 1 species